CUGGCUGCCCAUUGCCCACACACAGACACGCGCGCACGCACACACACACACACACACAUAGGCGCGCGCGCAAUAACAUCACAAGUCCGUAGCCUACCUUCCGUGUGACAGCUGGAGGAGAGGAUGGUGCUUGAGGGUCUGAAGAGGUAUACAGACGAGGAGGCAUACAAAGGUAUGUCAAUUGGUAUUGGUAUUAAUAUGCAGAUCACAUUUACCAUCCUCCUCCCUUACCUCUUCAAUGAAUAUCCCAUAGGCCUCUACAUUAUGGACAAGACUUCACCCUCCCUACACCUCUGAUGAAUAUAACAGGAAACCUGUUUGAUCACCAUGCACUGCAAAAUCAUUCUGGCUGUGGAUACGGAGAACAUCAACACAUUAACAUCAACAUACCAGAGGAUAUACCCAUUGGACAUGGGUCUCUGCUGGGAGUUUACCUCAUAUUUGGAUUUUUUAAUUCUGCUUUACCACUAAAAUCAUAAGAAACACUGACAACUAAAAUAUUAUGCUAUUAUUGUUAUUGCUUUUAUUGUUAAGUGUAUUAUUAUUAACAAUAAUAAUAAUAGGAGAGGGGGUGUAGUUAAAAAAUAUACCCCAAAAGGUUCAUCGAGGAUCCAUUAAAAAAGGCAUUCUUUGAAGAACCCUUUUUUAAAAAUGACUAGAUGUUGUUGUGGUCCUGUUGUGGACGCAAUUUAGUUUAUUUCGUUCCAACAAUCCUGUUUCUAAGCUCCAAAGACUGCACUCUCAGGAGAAUUUAACAAUAAGGGAGAUGGACCGGCUCCCUCGUGGGACUCCUCUGAAAACACAGCAUAUGGCCAGCUACUGAUGAUGUAAUACAAGCAGGCUGUCUACUGGAGGCAUUAGAGUGGCAGGGUUGCAUCUCUCCUGAGUCAUUAAAGGUGUGUAGUGUGUGGCAGAUGUGUCAUUUAUUGGAGUGCAGUAUUGAAUAAUGACAUUCUACAAACAAUGACCAUGCAACGAGCAACGUUUUAUUCUCCGAAAGGCUUCUAUAUCAUUGUUCGAAAAUUUACGCCAUAGGGAACUGCAUCCACUUAUAACUGUGGUACACCCAGUGUACAUAACACAAAGAAUCUUGUCGGUCACAGAGAAUGAUCGAAUCCAACGAAGCAUAUGAUAAGGUGAUUAACUCUCUCCUCAGAGAGGAAUAGUCAUCACCAUCAUUAGCAGCUUGACACCACCACAAACACCCUGGUGGGGAUCCAUCUACUAGGCUCUCAUGACUGGGUUUCCCCUACUGAUUAGCAGGCAGAUCCCGUUCCCAUCAUUACUAAUAUAACUGUUUUUUUUCUAUUCUCCAGGGUGUGGAGAAUCUGUCUGUUGCUCAUGUACAGUACCAGUCAAAAGCUGACACACCUACU